rnacentral:sRNA from 1 species
ACAUUCAAUAAGGGAACACUUCGUUAGA